CUAUAUAAUAAAUUAGGGUUCCUUCCCGCCAUGCUCAUCCGAGAUAUGUUUCCCUCGUUUCCCUUCAUUGACUCUGAUUUUUGCUCUGCGGGCCAUGAUAGAUUAGCGUUUAUGAUCUGUCGUCGCGGAAUAUUGGACGCCAAUGAAAAAUUCCGGCCAGUAUGGUUGUUCCCUUGUUCUUUCCCUUGUUUUUUCUUGUGGUGGAGAUCCAAGUUCAGGUUCGUCUCAUAUAAAUUUCCAGAUCUAGUUGUCUAUCCACCGUCUUCAGUUUGAUGGGGUCGGUGUUUGCAGUGCGGUGUAACGUCUUUCGUAAAUAACAGGGUUUUGACCAGAUGAUCUAGGCCUUCUGCGGUUGUAUUACAAGUCUGCAUGGAUUCUUUAAUACAAGGCAAAUGGGGAAUUUCUUUAUAAAAGCGAGGAGAAAACGAUCUCUCGGAUUUGCUGCUACCUUCAGUGGUUUUUGGCAGUUACCUUAUGUAAUUUCAUCAAGGGAAGGUUGAUUUGAUUAGAGUAUUGUCGUGGAUGUAUAAGAUAUCAGACCGAACCACCCUAUUUUAUUAGGGAGGCGGUUUCUGAUCGAUCUUUGUCAUCCGACCUUUGCCAUGACAGGUGCGCUUGCAUGGCAGGUCAACUACGUUAAUGAAAAAAAAGUUUUUUGGGUUUUGAGGAGGGAUCGCACGGGGAUUGCCCGGGGUUCCUUCUCUUUGGUGUGUGCCGUUUCCUCUCUCUCUUUUAUCUCUGUGCAUAAUAUUAUGCGUUGCUGCCCGCAGUUGCUUGCAUCCCCAGGGAUUGCUUGCUCGAUCGUUCUUGCCCAACACGUGCCCGUUCUUGCUCAAUUUUUUGAUCUCAAAUGAAUUCGUUGGCAAAGGUAAAAACAGUAAAACAACAGCGUUGGUAAGUAGAAUAAUAUAUUAACUCUGAUUAGGCUUCUAUAUAUUCGCCGGUACAAAAUCUCUACACGUUGCUUAGCGUGGUCUCAUUAGUAUUCGUGCGCUUUUUUAUAGUGUAGUUCUAUCUGUUCUCUUGGCUACAUGGGUAGUCUUACUGAGAGUUGUGUUCGGGUUAAUAACAGCUAUAUUUUCUAGGGCUAAAACCGAAGUUUCGUCCUCUCACAAUUGCUAGUCGUGUUAAUUUUUAAUCAAAUUCCAAAUGGAACAUUUUUUCCGGUUAAUUUACAAUUCUUCUUUAGAUUUUCGAACCCCGUAAAUGUGGAAACGUAGUAAAGAGAACAAAGAACCCUACAAGUGAGACGAGUGUUUAAUUGCUAGAUUUUUAAUGACCAGAAUGAAAAAAACCAAAGGGUUAUCACAUGGUUUUGGAUACUGGUUUUGUGAAGUUCCUGUUCAAAAUAUAUUCAAACGAGUAUUGCGUAGAUUUAGUUGGUCUUUGCGUUCAGAUUUUUGCUGUCAGCACACAAGGAAAAUUAUUAAUUUCUCCAGAAUCCUAUUUGUCACUUCUCAUUUAUGUUGAAUAUAUAUAUUGUGUGCAUUCUGUCCACAGGAUUGAGUGAAUUGUGUUUGUGAACGUUAAAUUAUGGUACUUGAUGUAAACGUUGUUAGUCCAAGCAUGAAUUUGUAUGUAGUCUGUAUUUUGUUACAACUGUAUUGUAAAGCACAUGGAAAGGAUGGACGAAGAACUUGUAUUGGACGGGUCACCUGGAUUGCUCUUUGCCGUUGCUGAGCUGUUGGGCCUGCAGAUAUCUGUGAAUUUUCGAGUGUGAAAUGGAAUCAUUCUUUCUUGGUAACUUCAAUUUUUGGAUUGUCAUUUAAUCAAGCAAUCGUUCUUUCUCGGUAACUUGUCAUUUAAUUAAAGCAGUUGCGUUUAGAAACUAUGUUCAAACUUUUUUCCUGAGUUAUGUUUUUUCUUUUAAAAAAGUCUAUUUAGAAAAUAUAUAUAAUAUUCGAAUCUGUUUGUUUCAGAUUAAUUUAUGUAAUGUUGUUUUUGAGUAUUGAAGCUUUCUUAGCCAAAUGAGCUAUGUUCAUCUGGAGUUUGUUUUCAAAUGUCUAUGGAGUUUGUAACUCGAUGAAAUCCUUUUUACAUUUGACCCUUUAGUACUAAGUUUAACAUGCGAAGUUCUUAUGUGUUUGUGUAUAGUGGGAGGUGAUAUCCAAUUUCACCAGAGAAUUCAUUUCAUGUAGGGGGAACUGAUCUUUCUAUUCGUUGAGGACAAAGAUCUCUGACUCGACAUAGUGGUUUGCUUUAUAAUAUAUUAAUGCUGUGUUAAUAAUUCAUAUCAUUUGGUGAAAGAUGUUCCUUCAAGUUUAUAGACAUUUUAUGCAAUUACGUGUUCUUUAGGAUUCAAAGAUCAACGAGUGAUAUUUUGCUAUUGGUGGGAGGCGCAUUUUAAUUAUGUCAGAAUUUAUCUUAUUUGGUUGGAGAUGACGAUGCUAUAUGUUCAAGGUUUUUAAUCUUGCACUUCGGUUUGAUGUCAAAUCUUAUGUGCAUUUCAAGGUUUAAAGAUAAAGUGGGAGGAAAUCGACUCUGUUGGAAGCACAUAUCAUUGAUUGUCUAGUGAUGAAGAUUUUGUACUCAACCUUCAAGACGGUUAUAAUAGUAGUUGAAUGUUUUUGGGUUUGUAGGUUGCUUUAAGUGGGAUUUCAAACCGCUCUGGCUCUUUGUGGUUUUGUGAGACUUAUUCAUGCAUUCAAGAUUUUACUAGCCUGACCUUGUAAUGUUAAAUUGUGCUCAAUUGAGAUCAAGGAUGGUGAGAGGUCAUAUUUCCUCCUGUGGGGAACUCAUUAUCAUUUGUCAACCAAUGCUUCUAUUUGUUUAAUAUUUUCAUCAUAACACUCUUUUUUAGAACUUUUUUAAUGUUCGAAAAGUAGCUGGGAAGCUCAUAUUAUUUGGUGAAAGGUGAUCCUCCCAGGUCUUCAAAAGCUUAUAUCAUUUUGUGCUCCAAGGUUCCAUCAAAACGCUUUUAAUCCAACCAUGAAUGAUCUAGGAUUUGAAGAUCGUCGGGAACUAGUUUCUUAAAUUUCUGGCAUCUCCCAAGGUGUUUUUUGAAGUUCAAUGGAGAUGUUAUAAUUAUCAAGCAGGCUCAUAUCAAUUGGGCACUUGUUUUUUGACUUCGGCAACCCUGAGGUGUUUGAAGUUCGACGGAGAUGUUAAUAGUUCUCAUAAAAAACAAUCCUGCAAGGCUUGAAGAUGGGUGAUGGCUUGCUUUUGAACUUUUGUGCAAUUUAUGCAUUUUUGUCAAAAUCCUCCUUACAUGUAGGUGUUGUAUCAUUUUCUGAAUACGAAGUGUUAUAUUUGCCGAGGAUUGGUGGAAGCUGUUAUUGAAUUCUGUGAGAGUUUAUUUCAUUUUCGGUAAGAGAUAUAUUGAUAUUUGCUUUUGACAUCUAACGUAUCACUUCAUUUUGAUCUUAGAUUGUAUGUGUAUCUAAGGUUCUGGGAUUUGGAAAUAAUCUCCUACUCUCUUAAAAGAACAUAUGGUUUAUAAGAGACGAUUUUGGCUUGUGAUCAUGAUUCGACAACCAAUUCCUCACGACCAAUUCUUCAGGUUGUUUGUUUAGAUCAAUAUCUACUGUCUGAAAAUUGAGGAAAGUGGAUUUCCUAACCUCUAUGGAUUUUGUAAACUUUCAAAUUCCUUUGUGUAUAACCAUGUGAAACUGAGUUCAAUGUAUGAUUGUCGCAGUUGAAGAAUUGUUGGAGGGCAUGUUCAGUUCCAAUCUCUUGGUAAGAGACUUUCCUUUCUAUCUCGCAAAAUGAGUUUCUAAAUUUUAGAUGUUUUGUUUGAUGUUGGAAGGAAUUCCAUAAGACUGUUGACAACUGUGCCUUGCUUGAGCAUAUUUUAUGGUUUGGCGAUUAUUGGAUAGCGAUCUCCAAUUCCUUUAGAGGCUCAUAUAGUCUGCCCGGUGAUUGUUUUUGAAAUGUUCUGGAGGUAUCUAACCUAAUCAUUGGAGUUAUUUAUCUUAUGUAUGGUGAACUUUCUAAAGGUUUGGAUGAUCUCCGUUGAGGUGAGAUUUUCCUGUAUUACAGGUCUCUAAUCUAUUCCAAGAGGUUUUUAUUCUUAGGGUUUCUUUUUUUUUUUUUUUUUUUGAUGUUGUCGAAUUAGUUUACAGGAUUCCAGAGUAACGAGAAAGAAGAUACAUCCAAAAAACAUACAUGUUCAUUAGCAUGUCUCCUUCGGUUACGGUUACCUUCUGUAUAUACUUGAAAAGAAAAAGUACCUUUUGUUGGAAAUUGCAAAAAUACUAUCACUUUUGUGAGCAAUAUUUUUUGCUUUAGAUUGGCAUUUAUUCCUUUUCCUUUCUUUCCGUUUCUUAAAAAUGGGGGAUAAGAUCUAUUGAGCGAGGAAACUUUAUUUUCUAGAGGUUUCUAGGCUGCUCUCGGAUGUAAGCUGUAGAACCAUACGAAAGCAUAAAUCUUAACUUGUGCUUCUUGUGCUUCAAAAGAGUUCCAUGGGAGGAGUAGAUACAUCUAAAUAGUUAUUAGUCUUCUGUGCAUCUAUUUAAAUGAAAUAAAAAAGUUUAUCUCCAAGUCUCAUUUGUAGGCGAUCGGUAGUGCAGACUAAAUGGUCGUUGAAAUAUUUCCAAAUGAUAUUCUAAUAUAUAGAUAAAUAGAACAAUAAUGUAAAAUAGAAUAGAAGUCUUGUACAAUAAUGUAAGGUAGUUUAGCUAGUUCAAGAAAUAUAUAUGUAUAUAUAGCCUCGAGAUUGGAAUUGACCACAGGGUUUAUAUUUUUUUGUUAUACAAAAGAAAGACAACGUAUUUGACGAAAAUGAAUCAAAAGGAUUAUUCGGUUGUUGGGGGGCCAGCUAGCACCUAGUUGGCUCCGCUGUUAGUUGUUGAUAUAUGGCUUUCCUCUUAUUAAUAUGGAUUAUUAAAGAUGGGCAUCCCUAAUUUCAACUUCCCUGCAUUCAGUUUAAUUCUAUUUAAUACCCAUCAAAUCAAAAUCUCUCUCAACCAAAAAAAAAGAAAAAAACAAACAAAAGAAAGUUGGCCAUUGUCGCUAAUUGGUUUAUUAAGUAAAUACCAGAAAUAAACUGAAAUGAAUAAAAAAAAGGUGAAAUUAUAACAAUUUAUCUUAAAAUAAGAUUUUAAUUGGGUGAGAUUAAAAGUUAACGAUAUAGCAUGACAAUUGAUAAGGUGAGCAUUUCUGUCAUUUUGUGUUGAGAGAAAAAUGUCGAAAAGUGGUAAAUGGGACAUUCAUGAAAAAUAAAAUGUAGUAUGGCUUUUUGUAUCGUUUAUUUUAUUGUUUGUAGAAAAAAUAUUUCUUGUUUCCACUUAGUCAGAUUAUUAGUAGGGGUGGGAGCGUUAGCGAACGGUUUUGGAAUGGAGACAACUAAAAGAGGAAGUAGAUUUUCCACUAUAGGAUCAACAGGAACUAUUAUUUCAUUAUCAAUUUUCAUGCAUAAUGAGUUAAUAUCAAUAGUCAGUAGUGCCAGCGGGAGCUGAGGACAAGUCCAAGGUGAAGUUAGGUUGAAUUCGCUGUUUGUGUGUAUUGAGCAUGUUUCUUCUUAAAAGAAGAGGCUCCCAUAACAAUGGAGAAACUGAUGAUUCUUCCCAGCAGGAUGGGAAGAUCACUGAACUAAGAGGUGCCUUGGGGCACCUAUCCGGUCGCAGUUUAAAGUACUGUAAUGAUGCCUGCCUUCGAAGAUAUUUGGCUGUGCGGAAUUGGGAUCUUCAUAAAGCAAAGAAAAUGGUGGAGGACUCGCUCAAAUGGAGGGCAACCUAUAAGCCCGAGGAAAUCAGAUGGCAUGAAGUAGCACAUGAAGGUGAAACAGGCAAAUCUUUUAGAGCAAAUUUCUACGACCGUUUCGGUCGAACAGUGCUCAUAUCCAGGCCAGGAAUGCAGAAUACAAACUCGCCGGAAGACAAUGUUCGACAUGUGGUGUAUCUUUUAGAGAACACCAUUUUGAACCUUCGUAAUGGCCAAGAACAGAUAGCGUGGCUGAUAGAUUUUACUGGAUUUACAAUGAACACCAACAUCUCUGUCAAAGCAGCAAGAGGGAUUAUUAACAUACUACAGAGCCACUAUCCAGAAAGGCUUGCUAUUUAAUUUCUCUACAACCCUCCAAGAAUCUUUCAAGCCUUUUGGAAGGCUAUCAGGUAUUUUAUCGAUUCAAAGACAGGUCAGAAAGUACAUUUCAUAUACCCCAACAACAAGGAUAGUGUAGAGCUAAUGAAAUCUUUCUUCGAUAUGGAGAACCUUCCAAGUGUAUUUGGAGGAAAAGCCACUCUAACAUAUGACCAUGAAGAGUUCUCAAAAAUGAUGGCAAUGGACGACAUCAAAACUGCCAAACUUUGGGAGUUGAACGACAAGCCUUCCCAUAAUAAUAUGAAUGGGCAUCCAGGCCUAGAGGCCGCACAAGAAGAGGGAAUACCGAUCUCCGUUUCUUCGGAUUAGAAAGGAGAUUAUAACGGAAACGGCCGUGAAAAGGGAAGGCUUUGUUGGAUUCCUGUAGGGACAAAGGAAGGCAGCACACAACACGUUAUUUUAUUCAACUGCACGGUGUAUUUACAUAGUGUUGCUUUGAUAUAUUCUGAUUACGGUGGAGUUCGUAGUUCAAGACCUGUGUGGUCAGGGCAUAAACCAUGCCAAAAUCCCAAGGCUAUGGCUUAGGCAGAUCCUCAAGAACAACAUGUGCAGCAUUGCGACCCGGUGCCCCCAUGACACCACCUCCAGGAUGCGACCCGCUACCGCAUAGGUACAAUCCUUUAAUCGGUGUCCUAUGAUUUGACCUGCAGUACAUGGAACAGAUAUUUCUUCUGUAAAAAUUGGAGGAAUACCAUAGAUUUUCAAACUAUUUAUUAAAAUAGAAUAGUUCUAAAACUAUUCAUUAAAAUA